rnacentral:rRNA from 1 species
CUGGGCGUAAGCGUGCGCAGGCGGUUAUGUAAGACAGAUGUGAAAUCCCCGGGCUCAACCUGGGAACUGCAUUUGUGACUGCAUGGAUAGAGUACGGUAGAGGGGGAUGGAAUUCCNCGUGUAGCAGUGAAAUGCGUAGAUAUGCGGAGGAACACCGAUGGCGAAGGCAAUCCCCUGGACCUGUACUGACGCUCAUGCACGAAAGCGUGGGGAGCAAACAGGAUUAGAUACCCUGGUAGUCCACGCCCUAAACGAUGUCAACUGGUUGUUGGGAAUUAGUUUUCUCAGUAACGAAGNUAACGCGUGAAGUUGACCGCCUGGGGAGUACGGCCGC